rnacentral:rRNA from 1 species
AUCAAGCAUCGAUACGUCGUAGUCCAAUCUUAAACAUAGCCGCUAGAAUGAAUGGAAUAUACCCCAUUCAGUACCUAUGAGAAAUCAAAGUCUUGGGACCGGGGGAGUAUGUCGCAAGACUGAACCUAAAGAAAUUGACGAAGGGCACCACCAGGAGUGGAGCCUGCGCUUAAUUGACUCAACACGGGGAAGGUGGCCAGGUCCGGACAUAGUAACGAAUGACAGAUGAUAGCUCUCCAUGAAUAAUAAGAGGGGGUGGUGCAUGGCCGUUCUUAGUUGGUGGAGUGAUUUGUCUGGUUUUUCCUGGUGUGCGUUCGUGACGCCUGCUAACUAGAUAUUUUCAUUUUAUGAAUAUAUCACUUAGAGGGACUAUAUGCAAUAAAGUAUAUGGAAGUUUGAGGCAAUAACAGGUCUGUGAUGCCCUUAUAUGUCCAAGGGCUGCACGCGUGCUACACUGAUAUAUACAACAAGUGCCUAGCUAGAUAUAGUAUGGCAAUCUCGAAUAUAUAUCGUGAUGGGGAUAGAUCUUUGCAAUUAUAGAUCUUGAACGAGGAAUUCCUAGUAAGUGCAAGUCAUCAUCUUGCAUUGAUUAUGUCCCUGCCCUUUGUACACACCGCCCGUCGCUCCUACCGAUACCGGGUGAUCCGGUGAACCUGUGGACCCUUUUGGGAAAAAUAAGUAAAUCAUAUCACCUAGAGGAAGGAGAAGUC